UACGGAGGGGGCAAGCGUUGUUCGGAAUCAUUGGGCGUAAAGGGAGCGUAGGUGGCAUUCUAAGUCUGAUGUGAAAGCUCUGAGCUUAACUCAGAAAUGGCAUUAGAAACUAGUUUGCUAGAGGAUUGGAGGGGAGAUUGGAAUACUUGGUGUAGCAGUGAAAUGCGUAGAUAUCAAGAGGAACACCAGUGGCGAAGGCGAAUCUCUGGACAAUUCCUGACACUGAUGCUCGAAAGCUAGGGGAGCAAACGGG
rnacentral:rRNA from 1 species